rnacentral:rRNA from 1 species
GAAAUCUGGCGUGCUCAGUGCGUCCGAGUUGUAAUCUAUAGAGUCGUUUUCCGUGCCGGACUGUGUCCAAGUCCCUUGGAACAGGGUAUCAAAGAGGGUGAUAAUCCCGUACUUGACACAAUGACCGGUGCUCUGUGAUACGUCUUCUACGAGUCGAGUUGUUUGGGAAUGCAGCUCAAAAUGGGUGGUGAGUUCCAUCUAAAGCUAAAUAUUGGCGAGAGACCGAUAGCGAACAAGUACCGUGAGGGAAAGAUGAAAAGCACUUUGGAAAGAGAGUUAAACAGUACGUGAAAUUGUUAAAAGGGAAACGAUUGAAGUCAGUCGUGACUGAGAGGCUCAGCCGGUUCUGCCGGUGUAUUCCCCUCAGUCGGGUCAACAUCAGUUUUGUUCGGUGGAUAAGGGCAGUUGGAAGGUGGCACCCUCGGGUGUGUUAUAGCCAGCUGUCGCAUACAUCGGAUGAGACUGAGGAAUGCAGCUCGC